UACGUAGGCAGCAAGCGUUGUUCGGAAUUAUUGGGCGUAAAGAGUAUGUAGGUGGUGUCGUAAGUUUGGUGUGAAAUCUCCUGGCUUAACUGGGAGGGUGCGCCGAAGACUGCGAUGCUUGAGUAUGGGAGAGGGUAUCGGAAUUCCUGGUGUAGCGGUGAAAUGCGUAGAUAUCAGGAGGAACACCUGUGGUGUAGACGGGUUCCUGGACCAUUACUGACACUGAGAUACGAAAGCGUGGGUAGCAAACAGA
rnacentral:rRNA from 1 species